AUGAAGUGGCUAGCAGGCACUGUGCUGGGGCUUUUGUUUGCCCAGGUUUGCUGUGUGCGAGGGGUGGAUGUGGAGCAGAGUCCCCCAGCCCUGAGUCUCCAGGAGGGAGCCAACUCCACCCUUUGGUGUAAUUUUUCCACUUCCCCAAUGAGUGUGAAUUGGUAUCUUCAGAACCCUGGGGGCCGCCUCAUCCACCUGUUUUACAUUCCUUCAGGGACAAAGCAGGAAGGAAGAUUAAAGGCCACGACAGUCCCUGCAGAACGCCGCAGCUCACUGCACAUUUCCUCUCCGCGGACCACAGACUCAGGCACUUACUUCUGUGCUGCGCAGCACGGUGCUCCCCAGGCACCUGCAGCCUCUACACGAACCCUCCCGGGGCUCAGCCCCUCCUCCAGCCUCAGUCACACCGUGAGGCCCCACAAGGCAUUUGCAGUGUUUAGUAUUCCUUAGGAACAUUGGUAUAGGUAUAACCACAAACGCUUUUUAGCCCAACAGAUUUCUGUUGGUCUUUUCCCUUCGCAGUUUAUCUCCUUCUGCACUAGAACCUCUAACUUGUAACUAAAAAUGUAGCUGAUAAGAGGACAGAAUUAAAAUAAAUAUUCCUCACAGUAUGCUGGACUCCAAAACAGUAAACAUUGAAAGCAACUAAAAGAAGAGAGAAAUCUCUCCAGUAAGGAUAUUAUCCAGCUUGGUUGGGUGUCUCAAGAAUGUUCAGAUCUGUCUCACUGUGAUGUAUCCCAACAGGCAACUGCAAGCACUGGUAUCCCAUCCUAUCAUUGCAGCAAAGUGAACAGAAAAUAUUUGCUCAGUGUUUAAUAUGACUUUGACCACUUACAAAGUAUUUCUUAUAGUUCUGGAUGCAAAAAAUCUAAAAUCAGUUCCGCUAUAGCCAAGGUCUUGGCAGGGCUGAUUCCUUCCAGAUUCUCUGAGGAAGCAUCUGUUUCCUUUCCUUUUGUAGUUUCUGGAGGCCCUCUGGAUCCAUGGCUCAAGACCCCUUCUUGAAUCACUCCAAAUCUUACUUCCACCACCAUGGCUCCCUCCUCUCCUGGAGUCAAAUAUCUUUCUGACUCUGUCCUAUAAGGUAUAAAAUUUAAAGCACAGAAAUCUCAAUUAAAUAGAGCUGGCAGAAGAGGGGGAGUUCUCCUGACCUGUGGACAUCACAGAGGGCAAAAGGAAGACGAAAGAAGCCUCUUCUUCCCUGGUCAGUACGCCGUCAAUAGAAAGUCAAGGGCGCUCUGUUUACUAUAACCCUCCUAAUUUCCUUGUGUUCUCUAUAAAAGC